rnacentral:rRNA from 1 species
UGCCAGCCGCCGCGGUAAUACGAAGGGGGCUAGCGUUGUUCGGAAUUACUGGGCGUAAAGCGUACGUAGGCGGAUUGUUAAGUGAGGGGUGAAAUCCCGAGGCUCAACCUCGGAACUGCCUUUCAUACUGGCAAUCUUGAGUCCGGGAGAGGUGAGUGGAACUCCUAGUGUAGAGGUGAAAUUCGUAGAUAUUAGGAAGAACACCAGUGGCGAAGGCGGCUCACUGGCCCGGAACUGACGCUGAGGUACGAAAGCGUGGGGAGCAAACAGGAUUAGAUACCAUGGUAGUCCACGCCGUAAACGAUGGAUGCUAGCCGUCGGGGAGCUUGCUCUUCGGUGGCGCAGCUAACGCAUUAAGCAUCCCGCCUGGGGAGUACGGUCGCAAGAUUAAAACUCAAAGAAAUUGGUGG